CUGGCUCAGGAUGAACGCUAGCUACAGGCUUAACACAUGCAAGUCGAGGGGCAGCAUUGGGAUAGCUUGCUAUUCAGAUGGCGACCGGCGCACGGGUGAGUAACGCGUAUCCAACCUCCUGCCAGUAGGGAACAGCCCGGCGAAAGUCGGAUUAAUGCCCUAUGUUCUUCAAUGCGGACAUCUAAGUUGAAGGAAAGAUUCAUCGCUGGCAGAUGGGGAUGCGUCCGAUUAGCUUGCCGGCGGGGUAACGGCCCACCGGGGCGACGAUCGGUAGGGGUUCUGAGAGGAAGGUCCCCCACACUGGUACUGAGACACGGACCAGACUCCUACGGGAGGCAGCAGUGAGGAAUAUUGGUCAAUGGGCGUAAGCCUGAACCAGCCAAGUAGCGUGCCAGGACGACGGCCCUACGGGUUGUAAACUGCUUUUAUGCGGGGAUAAAGUGCGGCACGUGUGCCGCUUUGCAGGUACCGCAUGAAUAAGGACCGGCUAAUUCCGUGCCAGCAGCGGC
rnacentral:rRNA from 1 species